UACGUAGGGUGCAAGCGUUAAUCGGAAUUACUGGGCGUAAAGCGUGCGCAGGCGGUUGUGCAAGACAGGUGUGAAAUCCCCGGGCUUAACCUGGGAACUGCAUUUGUGACUGCAUAGCUAGAGGUACGGGUAGAGGGGGAUGGAAUUCCGCGUGUAGCAGUGAAAUGCGUAGAUAUGCGGAGGAACACCGAUGGCGAAGGCAAUCCCCUGGACCUGUAC
rnacentral:rRNA from 1 species